rnacentral:rRNA from 1 species
GACGAACGCUGGCGGCGUGCUUAACACAUGCAAGUCGAGCGAUGAAGCACCUUCGGGUGUGAAUUAGCGGCGAACGGGUGAGGAACACGUGAGAAAUCUGCAUUCAACUCUGGGAUAACUCCGUGAAAACGGGGCUAAUACCGGAUAUGAAACCUCCGGGCAUCCGCGGGUUUGGAAAGUUUUUCGGUUGAAGAUGAUCUCACGGCCUAUCAGCUUGUUGGUGAGGUAAUGGCUCACCAAGGCGACGACGGGUAGCCGGCCUGAGAGGGGAAACGGGCAGAAUGGGACUGAGACACGGCCCAUACAACUACGGUUGGCAGCAACAGGGAAUCGUGCGCAAUGGACGAAAGUCUGACGCCGCAAUGCCGCGUGGAGGAUGAAGGCCCUAGGGUCGUAAACCCCUUUUGCCAUGGAGGAGAUGCCAUGGAGAAUAAGUGACUGCUAACUCUGUGCCAGCAGCCGCAGUAA